UUUAGCGUCAUUCAGCAUCAUUUAGCAUCAUUCAGUAUCAUUCAGUAUCAUUCAGCAUCAUUUACCAUCAUUCCGUAUCAUUCAACAUCAUUCAACAUCAUUCAGUAUCAUUCAACAUCAUUCAGCACCAUUUAGCAUCAUUCAGUAUCAUUUAGCAUCAUUCAGUAUUAUUCAACAUCAUUCACUAUCAUUCAACAUCAUUCAGCAUCAUUUAGCAUCAUUCAACAUCAUUUAGCAUCAUUUAGCAUCAUUCAGCAUCAUUUACAUCAUUCAACAUCAUUCAACAUCAUUUAGUAUCAUUAAGCAUCAUUCAGUAUCAUUCAGCAUCAUUCAGCAUCAUUUAGCGUCAUUCAGUAUCAUUCAGCAUCAUUUAGCAUCAUUCACCAUCAUUCAACAUCAUUCAACAUCAUUCAACAUCAUUCAACAUCAUUCAACAUCAUUUAGCAUCAUUCAGCAUCAUUUAGCAUCAUUUAGCAUCAUUCAGCAUCAUUUAGCAUCAUUCAACAUCAUUCAGCAUCAUUCAACAUCAUUCAACAUCAUUCAGCAUCAUUCAACAUCAUUCAGC
rnacentral:lncRNA from 1 species